UGUUUAAAGCAUAAAUGUGAACCUAUUUCUUAAACAUCUUGAUUAAGUUUCUUUGAUCCCUAUAUUUUAGCACUAAAUGGUAUCCAAGUCCCCGCAAUACAUUUCACUUGUACAAUAGAGUUUGUGAUAGCUUCCAUCUCAAGCAUUGAUCUUAGCAAAUGCAUUUGUAUGCAAACAAAAGAUUGGAUUUUAGUAUCAAUCAG
rnacentral:misc_RNA from 1 species